rnacentral:rRNA from 1 species
GACUAUUGCGAUGGGGGGACGGAGAAGGCUAGGUGGGCCAGGCGACGGUUGUCCUGGUUCAAGUGCGUAGGCUUGAGAGUUAGGUAAAUCCGGCUCUCUCUAAGGCUGAGACACGACGUCGAGCUACUACGGUAGUGAAGUCAUUGAUGCCAUGCUUCCAGGAAAAGCCUCUAAGCUUCAGAUAGUCAGGAAUCGUACCCCAAACCGACACAGGUGGUCGGGUAGAGAAUACCAAGGCGCUUGAGAGAACUCGGGUGAAGGAACUAGGCAAAAUGGUACCGUAACUUCGGGAGAAGGUACGCUCUUGAUGGUGAAGUCCCUCGCGGAUGGAGCUGACGAGAGUCGCAGAUACCAGGUGGCUGCAACUGUUUAUUAAAAACACAGCACUGUGCAAAAUCGCAAGAUGACGUAUACGGUGUGACGCCUGCCCGGUGCCGGAAGGUUAAUUGAUGGGGUUAGCGCAAGCGAAGCUCUUGAUCGAAGCCCCGGUAAACGGCGGCCGUAACUAUAACGGUCCUAAGGUAGCGAAAUUCCUUGUCGGGUAAGUUCCGACCUGCACGAAUGGCGUAAUGAUGGCCACGCUGUCUCCACCCGAGACUCAGUGAAAUUGAAAUCGCUGUGAAGAUGCAGUGUACCCGCGGCUAGACGGAAAGACCCCGUGAACCUUUACUACAGCUUGGCACUGAACAUUGAACCUACAUGUGUAGGAUAGGUGGGAGGCUAUGAAGACGUGACGCCAGUUGCGUUGGAGCCGUCCUUGAAAUACCACCCUUGUAUGUUUGAUGUUCUAACUUAGACCCGUUAUCCGGGUUGAGGACAGUGCCUGGUGGGUAGUUUGACUGGGGCGGUCUCCUCCCAAAGAGUAACGGAGGAGCACGAAGGUGGGCUAAUCACGGUUGGACAUCGUGAGGUUAGUGCAAUGGCAUAAGCCCGCUUAACUGCGAGAAUGACGGUUCGAGCAGGUGCGAAAGCAGGUCAUAGUGAUCCGGUGGUUCUGUAUGGAAGGGCCAUCGCUCAACGGAUAAAAGGUACUCCGGGGAUAACAGGCUGAUACCGCCCAAGAGUUCAUAUCGACGGCGGUGUUUGGCACCUCGAUGUCGGCUCAUCACAUCCUGGGGCUGAAGUCGGUCCCAAGGGUAUGGCUGUUCGCCAUUUAAAGUGGUACGCGAGCUGGGUUUAGAACGUCGUGAGACAGUUCGGUCCCUAUCUGCCGUGGGCGUUGGAAGAUUGAAGGGGGCUGCUCCUAGUACGAGAGG